CAAGCGCCCCCAGGACCUGCUUUCCAAGGUGGCUUUGGAAAAUUGUGUGGCAGAAAGGCAGCGUGAACUCCUUCCUGUCAGCAUCUCUGAGUUAUGGGAGACACCACUGAAGUAUGAUCCCAAGGAGCCUGCCAAGCCCUGUGCACCUAGGCCACUGUGAUGUCCUCAUGGACAGAGGUAGGAGCAGCCACAGAGGGGCCCAGAGACUCACUGAGCACACAGCCUCUCUGCAACAGGUUCUCUGCAGGGGAUGCUCAGGAUCAUGUGGAGAUCCAGUCCUGCUCAGCCAGUGCCCAGAUGACCUGUCCCCAGCUGGAUGUGAAGUCCCCAGACCGGGCUGAGGCCAGGAGGCUGUCCCAAACCUACCACAGUAU